rnacentral:rRNA from 1 species
AUUGAACGCUGGCGGCAGGCCUAACACAUGCAAGUCGAGCGGAUGAAGGGAGCUUGCUCCUGGAUUCAGCGGCGGACGGGUGAGUAAUGCCUAGGAAUCUGCCUGGUAGUGGGGGAUAACGUCCGGAAACGGGCGCUAAUACCGCAUACGUCCUGAGGGUGAAAGAGGGGGAUCUUCGGACCUCACGCUCUCAGAUGAGCCUAGGUCGGAUUAGCUAGUUGGUGGGGUAAAGGCCUACCAAGGCGACGAUCCGUAACUGGUCUGAGAGGAUGAUCAGUCACACUGGAACUGAGACACGGUCCAGGCUCCUACGGGAGGCAGCAGUGGGGAAUAUUGGACAAUGGGCGAAAGCCUGAUCCAGCCAUGCCGCGUGUGUGAAGAAGGUCUUCGGAUUGUAAAGCACUUUAAGUUGGGAGGAAGGGCAGUAAGUUAAUACCUUGCUGUUUUGACGUUACCAACAGAAUAAGCACCGGCUAACUUCGUG